rnacentral:rRNA from 1 species
GACGGGGGGUCCUAGCGUUGUUCGGAAUCAUUGGGCGUAAAGCGUGUGCAGGUUGUUUUUCAAGUUAGGUGUGAAAUCCUUGGGCUUAACCCAAGAAGUGCACUUAAAACUGUUAAACUUGAGUAUGGAAGAGGGUCGUGGAAUUCCAGGUGUAGUGGUGAAAUACGUAGAUAUCUGGAGGAACACCGGUGGCGAAGGCGGCGACCUGGUCCUAUACUGACACUCAUACACGAAAGCGUGGGGAUCAAACAGG